GCGUACAUUUCAUCGGCAAGCUUUUCCUUUUACAUACGAGUAUGGGAGCAGUGUUAGUGCUUAUGUACUACACAAGCAGUAGAGGGUGAAGUAGCUAUGUAUAUGUACAUAGACAUGCAUACGCAUAUGCAAACAAAU
rnacentral:snoRNA from 1 species